CCCCUUCGGGGGUACUCGAGUGGCGAACGGGUGAGUAACACGUGGGCAAUCUGCCCUGCACUUCGGGAUAAGCCUGGGAAACUGGGUCUAAUACCGGAUAGGACCUUUAGGCGCAUGUCUUUAGGUGGAAAGCUUUUGCGGUGUGGGAUGGGCCCGCGGCCUAUCAGCUUGUUGGUGGGGUGAUGGCCUACCAAGGCGACGACGGGUAGCCGGCCUGAGAGGGUGUCCGGCCGCACUGGGACUGAGAUACGGCCCAGACUCCUACGGGAGGCAGCAGUGGGGAAUAUUGCACAAUGGCGCAAGCCUGAUGCAGCGACGCCGCGUGGGGGAUGACGGCCUUCGGGUUGUAAACCUCUUUCACCAUCGACGAAGGUCCGGGUUUUCUCGGAUUGACGGUAGGUGGAGAAGAAGCACCGGCCAACUACGUGCCAGCAGCCGCGGUAAUACGUAGGGUGCGAGCGUUGUCCGGAAUUACUGGGCGUAAAGAGCUCGUAGGUGGUUUGUCGCGUUGUUCGUGAAAUCUCACGGCUUAACUGUGAGCGUGCGGGCGAUACGGGCAGACUAGAGUACUGCAGGGGAGACUGGAAUUCCUGGUGUAGCGGUGGAAUGCGCAGAUAUCAGGAGGAACACCGGUGGCGAAGGCGGGUCUCUGGGCAGUAACUGACGCUGAGGAGCGAAAGCGUGGGGAGCGAACAGGAUUAGAUACCCUGGUAGUCCACGCCGUAAACGGUGGGUACUAGGUGUGGGUUUCCUUCCCUUGGGAUCCGUGCCGUAGCUAACGCAUUA
rnacentral:rRNA from 1 species